rnacentral:tRNA from 1 species
GCGGACGUGGCGGAAUGGCAGACGCGCCAGACUUAGGAUCUGGUACUUGACGGUGUAAGAGUUCGAGUCUCUUCGUCCGCACCA